GACCACCUUGACAUGCAUUCAUGCUGUCCAGAGUUCCCUGCAGUGCUGCAUUCCUUCUCAUCAGUGACACAUUUUGGGAAUUAUCCCUAAAUGCCUUCCUGGAGUUCCACUGCCAGAGCUGCAACUGCAGCCCUGAACUUCCCAUGCCAAUGGGUCCUUCAACUCAGAGGAGGAAGAGACAUUAAGGAUGGCGGGGGAGGCCUUUGUCCAAGCUGAGGUCUGGAAAACAUUCCGCUCCUCGCCCACAUACAGGCACUGGACGACAAAACGAAUGAUGCACUCUGUCACAUGGAGUUUACACACAUCAGCAGUGAAGAACCUUGUGCUGUGAACCUUGGUGAAAUAUCAGGUUCUUUUGAAGAGGAUGGAAUGGUGAUCUAUGAUGUUGACACACUCAGACCAGUAAGCGUCCUCUGGAUGUGUAGUGCCUCUUUGAUAACACUACACCCAAAAAGAACAAGUCAAAAGGGAAACCACUCUGGCCAGGAGGAUGCUGCCUCCUGCAUGAAUAUCUAUGGAAUGACUGCCUGGACUAGGAGGGCAUGGUUCCUUCUUUUUAACAAGGCCAGACAUCCUCUCUGGUUGCCCAGCAGGCCAAAUGUACUGUUGCAGUAACUGUGUGCACUUAGAAAAAGUAAGUAGCAUUAAAAAUGGCAGCAUAAACUGGGCAUGCACAGUUUUGUUAAGCCCUUUAAAAGUUAUGUCACAGGAAUAGAAUAUCUGGGUAAUAUUAGAGGUCAGUAAGUGGGUAGAAAUUGGUAGCAGAGAUAGAAAAAUGCUUCAUUCAAACAUUCCUCCAUGUAGGCCACCCAAAUAAGAAAUCUCUAGACAUUUAUACAGUCCACAUGGUUCCUUGGCUCACAAAAGGCUCUCAGUCUUUACAAGGGCAAAUUUUAAUAACCAAUAGUAAAGAGUACAUGAAAUUAAGUCCUUUGUCUAAUAAUCUAAAAAAUAUACCACUUUAAUCAAUUUGAUAAAAAAAAAAAGAUAAAACUGUAUACACAAUGAAAUUUCCUUAAAAAUUGCAGAAGCUGCUGGUGAAGUUCAAGUUGAAAUUUUGUAGGUGUGGCACCAUCAGUAGGGCCCGUCCAGGCUGUCACAGGAUGGCCGGGACCAAAAAAUUGGUGCUGCCUGUUAUGCCUUCGGCCAUAUUCAGCUUGGA